GAAAACAACAAAAAAACAACAACAACAGGGAGAUAAAGAAAGUCCUGUCUAUGUGCGUCUCCGGAGUGUGCGAGGCAUCACUUUCAGGCUUCCUCCUGUCUCACACACAGUCAGCCAAGGCAGAGGCAGAGCAGUCACAGCAACUAAAGAAAAAGCCGAGCUGAGAGCGAGCAUGUGUUAGCAGCAGUCACUGACAGUUUGGCCGCUUCCAGGGACCUGCUGCUCCGAGGGAGAGCGGCGCAGUGUGUGCGAGUGAGUGUGUACACUGGGGAAAGAGAAAGAGAGAGAGAGAAAAAGAGAGAGAGAGAGAGAGGGCGGCGUGUGUGCAGGUAUGUACACAAACAUCAAAUUACGGGUUUGCAGACUGAGAAACACACACUCUGACGCUCUUGAAGAGUCACAGCAGAAGUCCCUGGAAGGAAGCAGGAAGAGGUGGAUACGAUGCACCACUUCUCAAUGAAACCACGUCCUGCCAGCAGAUCCACAGAUGCAACGCAUGUGUGUGCGUGCGUGUGUGUGUGCAGAUCCAGUUUUUAUUAGCACGUGUGUGUGUGUGUGUGUUAGCCAGCUGUAAUUCCUCCAGGACCACAGGUAGGAGGGCUGCUGAACGCAACUUCGCAGGUUGCCUCGACGCCGCCCUCAGGAUUCCCUUCCCUCCGUCACCUUCUCGCCGCCCUCCACCCUGCCCCUCCUCAUUAGCUCUCCCCUCCCGUCCCCGCCUCCCCCCCUCGCGCUGCGUCUUCGCCGCGCUUCGUCUCCGCUCCAGGCGAAAAAUUCCCAGCUGCACUUCCCUUCCUGCUGAGUUUCCCACACAUGAAUCCCUCGCUUUUCUCCCUGUCACGCUGAUCCGCGGAGAGACACGCGCUCAGAGCAGGCAGCCCCUCUGGGUAAAAAAAAAAAGAAAAAAGUUCUUGCACAACUUUAAAUAACACCUCAAGCCCUCAUUUCUUCAGUCUCUCCCACACUGUGAAAACAUUAAAUGUGCAUAAACUGCGGUUGGCGCUUGUUGCUCGCGUCUCGUCUGAAGGGGUUAAGCAGCUUUAUAGUGGAGCAAUGAAAAUCUCACAGGGCCCGCAUCUGCGCUGUUGUUGCUGUGGUAUUUUGGAACAUCUGUCGUUUGCCGUGUAUGUGGAACUCUGGCAAAAUUGCGCACCAGUGUCUGGGAGCAGCUCUCCGGGGUGUUUUACCCACUCUGAAGAGAAAACAGGCUGAGAGGCGGCAUCGGUGGAAAUUAGUUAAAGGAACCUGCCAUUUAACCGGAUCGUAGAGGGACAUCUGUUUUGCCUCCACUCUGAGUGGGUCACUGACAUCCAUAGUUUUUUUUUAUACACAUCAAAAGCAAACACAGACACUGUUUUCUGAAAGCUUCUUUACUCGACGCAUUUGGAUCAAAACAACAAGCAGAGCCCACUGCUCAAGAGAGAGCUGCGAGUUUGGCUGAUAAUGUACAUCAGCUCGAGAUAUUUCUGGCAACACGAUGCAUUUGCCCGCCUUAUGGAUGCUUUAGGGGACAACAAGCUGUCUGGGUGAAAUGCCUCAGCUGUGUCUGUUUGUAUUUAUCCCUGACACAAACUCCAUAAAGAGCUCUGAGCUCCUCUGCCUAAACUUCCAGGCCGGUUCCCAAAAUAACCCAGUUUUGAGGCACGAGCACAAAAACACAUGCAAAAAAAGAACAAGAUGCAAAAUCAAAUAUGGAAAACAAACCUACAAAAAAUAGGGCACCGGGUUUCGUGUCACCAAUUUGUGCCAUCUAGCGGAUCUGUGCUGAUAAGCGUGUGCCGGGUGGCUUUUGUUGAGAUGAAUGGGUGCGAUGGCUUUCUUGGCUGUUUGUCUAGAUGAUUGUCUGGAUGACCCAGAUAUCUCCUAUCAAGUGUCAAAUUAUCUGCUGAUAUCAGAGCUGUAACAAGCCACUCCGCAGCUUACUUUAAAGGAGCAGUUUGCAAUUUUGGUAUGUGCUAAAAGCUUAGUUUGGUAUAGCUAAGGUGUUUUUUUGUUUGUUUUUUUGUUUUGGUGUUUUAUUUUGGCCCAUCCACUAACAUGGAGGAGGUGGAGCUUAUAACCUAUACAGCAGCCAGCCACCAGGGGGAGCUCUAUUUGCUUUGGCUUUUAUACCGUCUAUGGUCGAAAUUGACAGAGAAAAUUAGAUAUUAAGUCUUAAAACGCCAAAACAGA